rnacentral:lncRNA from 1 species
CACAAGGUCACCUGGUUAGUAAAUGGUAGAGCCAGGAUCCAGACCUCAACAGCUGGACUGCAGCCUGCAGCACUGAGCUCCCUGCCAGGCUGCAUUUCAGUUGCUGUCUGUCCAUGAGUUAGUUGAGAACUGGGCCCAUGUCUCAUUCAUCUAUUUUUUUUUUUUUUUGAGACAGAGUCUCGUUCUGUCGCCCAGGCUGGAGUGCAGUGGCACAAUCUCAGCUCACUGCAACCUCCACCUCCCAGGUUCAAGCAAUUCUCCCGCCUCAGCCUCCCAAGUAUCUGGGAUUACAGGUGCCUGCC